GUCUUCUAAAAAUAUUUUUCAACUUUACCUCUCCCCAAACCCCUCCCACCCUGUUAAAUAAAAUUUAUUGCUGAGUUAUUUUCUUUAGUUGUACAUUUUAUGUCUGGUAUAUUUUAUUUUGAUUGCUAUGGAAGCUGGUAUGAAAUGUGGGAAGCUCAAUGUAUCAGUUUAUGAUGUCUAAUUUGAAUAUUUCAUUUUUAAUUGGCCUCUGUUAAUACGAACAUUAAGCUAUUUUAUCAUUUAAUACUAUAGUCAUUCACAGUUGUGCAUGCUAAAAUGUUUGAAU
rnacentral:lncRNA from 1 species